GUUGGGAAUCUUGGACAAUGGGGGAAACCCUGAUCCAGCCAUGCCGCGUGAGUGAUGAAGGCCUUCGGGUUGUAAAACUCUUUCGACGGGGACGAUAAUGACGGUACCCGUAGAAGAAGCUCCGGCUAACUUCGUGCCAGCAGCCGCGGUAAUACGAAGGGGGCUAGCGUUGUUCGGAAUUACUGGGCGUAAAGCGCGCGCAGGCGGCUAUCCAAGUCAGUGGUGAAAGCCCGGAGCUCAACUCCGGAACUGCCAUUGAAACUGUUUAGCUUGAGGACGAGAGAGGUGAGUGGAAUUCCCAGUGUAGAGGUGAAAUUCGUAGAUAUUGGGAAGAACACCAGUGGCGAAGGCGGCUCACUGGCUCGUAUCUGACGCUCAGGCGCGAUAGCGUGGGGAUCAAACAGGAUUAGAAACCCGUGUAGUCC
rnacentral:rRNA from 1 species